AGCCCCUGAAUGCUGCUUUCCAUUCUGAACCCAACAAUUCUAUGGGAUGAACAAGCAACUAAAUCUACAUUAUGGUGGUGGUGUCAGUGAUGGAACAGGCAAAGUCUGACAAAUCUCUUUCCUUGCAGAUAUUCAAAAUACUACUGGAUGUGACCAUGAGUAAUCUGAUUUAACUUUGGCAUUAGCCUUGGUUUGAGUGAGAGAAUGGAGCACAGCCAAUGACCCAGAAGUCCAUUCCCACUUGAAUUAUGUUAUGAUUCUACAUGGAGACCUCUAUCUCUUGGGUCCUUGGAAGUCACUGUGGUUUACCAGUGAUCUAUGAUGGCCCAAAGAGACUUAAAAGGAUGCUGCGAUGCCAGGGAGACUUUUGAGAGGGAAGAUUCAUUUAGCAUCUGGACAGCAACUCUUCCAAGAAGAGAAGUUGGACACCGGGAGCAGCUGAAUUAUUCUGUGUAUGAGGAAGCUUAUUUGGGAGACAUCACCUACUGCUCCCUCUUAUUUUCCUGA
rnacentral:lncRNA from 1 species